AUGCUAAUAUCUAAAAGAGAACUUUUAGAAAAAGCGUUUUCACCCGAUUGCUUUCAUAGUAAUGAUGAAGAUGUUAAGACGAUUAGUGUUUCUUCUAUUGAUUCCUUGUUUAGUAAUAUUAAAAUUGAUGAUAAGGGGUCUGAAGAAGAAUCAACUUUAGCUAGAAGGCGUACCCAUAGUUCGGAGGGUGAAAAUCUUGUUGAAAAAAUUGAUAAAAGUGGGUUUGGAGAGGUAAAAACUUCUACUAGUGACGUACCCACUCUUUUGGAUUACAAAGACUUUAAUUAUGAUAGUUGUUCUUUGAUUGAAUGCAUUUGUUUGUUGCAAUCCAUGCUAAAUUCACCCAAUGCUUAUGAACAAAAUAAAGCUUUUACUACACAUAUUGUAGAAGCAAUGAUGAAAGCUUUAGAGGAAAAGCUAGAAUUACAAAUUUCAAUUCCAAGAAAAUUAUAUGAUGAAUGGGAACCCGCCAUUAAAGUCAAGAUAAAAAAUUAUGAGUAUGAUGUUUUAUGUGAUCUGGGUGCUACUAUUUCCACAAUUCCGAAAUCUCUAUGUGAUGUGCUAGGUUUUACCAAGUUAGAAGAAUGUUCUCUUAAUUUGCACUUGGCGGAUUCUACAAUUAAAAAACCUUUGGAAAGAAUUAAUGAUGUUCUUAUUCUUGCAAAUAGGAAUUAUGUGCCCAUAGAUUUUAUUGUGCUUGCUAUUGAUUACAAUCCGUCUUGUCCCACAAUACUUGGUAGACCAUUUUUAUGA
rnacentral:rRNA from 1 species